UUCCUGCUUUUUUCGGUAAUUUCUCCAGAGCAGAUUAAAAGAUGAUAGCUUUAGUAAUUAUUAUCGGUAAAUAAUUGGAGAGAAGGAUUGCUAAGAGUGCCGUAAUAAUCAAAAGAGAAAGUAAACAAAGAGAAUCUCUCAUUGUUACAUACGUCGUUUUGAACAUUUUAUACAGAUAUUUAAAUAAUUCGCGAGAUUGUUUAUAGCUUUACAAAUGACAAAUGUGUCCACCUCUACUAAAUAUUUUGAGCUAGCAAGUCCAAAUCAGUAUCACUCAGAUGUAAAAAAAGAACUGGCAUUCCUGAUUACAUAAAAACUGUUGUUCCAGCCUUAUGGCGUGCGCGUUUUUCUUUUGUGACUCAAUUUGUGGUGAAAAUGGGGAAAACACGGAAAACCAAUUCCCAAAAGUUGAUGCUGAGAAUGGCCAACACUGUGAAUAUGGGAUUUAUGAAAGAAAAUGUUACGGUGAACAAGCCAGAAGAAAAUAAAACAUUGGGUAUGAAGCGUACGAGACAUCCACUGCGAAAGGUAACACGAAAUACAAAAAUAUUGAAGACGACCAUGCAUGAAGAAAUUAAAAACAUUGGUUCUGAUUCGGAAGAAGAAUGCGUCCAGGAGAUCGCUGUGGACAACACUAGACAGGAUUUGGAGAAACAAGAUGAGCUAAUUCAAUUAGCGGACUCCAGUGAAGCUGAAAAAGGUCAAUCGAGUGCAGUGUCCGAUGUAAAUCCUACCGCAGCAAUCAUCCCAAAUUUUUUGGCAAAAUCACGAACCUUGAGGACGAUAACCUGAAGUUGCGGAAUCUAAACAUGAAGCUGCAAACAGCAUUAAUUGACAAACCCGGAGAAGUUUCUUUUAAAGAGUUUCCGGAAAGAAAUCGAAUAAUCCAAGCGGAAAGCGUAAACCGAGUUUGAAUGAAGCUUCUCAAGUCAUUGAAGCGUGUAAUCCGGAGAAACUGGAUCCGGAAAAGGUUGAGUACAUAAAAGAUCGACUUUUCGAACGCAGCACUUUUUUAAAAGAUUCUUCAGGAACAGCUAUCAAAGUUGCAAGAAAAGUGGCAAAGUUCAUAGCGAUUGUGGUGGCCAACAAUCCAAAUCUUCGGCGGGCUACUUUAUUAUUGAUCUGUUGUUUUCUUAACCUUGAGGUAUUUCGA